rnacentral:rRNA from 1 species
AUUGAACGCUGGCGGCAUGCCUUACACAUGCAAGUCGAACGGCAGCACGGGAGCAAUCCUGGUGGCGAGUGGCGAACGGGUGAGUAAUAUAUCGGAACGUGCCCGGUCGUGGGGGAUAACGUAGCGAAAGCUACGCUAAUACCGCAUACGAUCUACGGAUGAAAGCGGGGGAUCGCAAGACCUCGCGCGAUUGGAGCGGCCGAUAUCAGAUUAGGUAGUUGGUUGAGGUAAAGGCUCACCAAGCCGACGAUCUGUAGCUGGUCUGAGAGGACGACCAGCCACACUGGAACUGAGACACGGUCCAGACUCCUACGGGA